rnacentral:rRNA from 1 species
UACGUAGGGGGCAAGCGUUGUCCGGAUUUAUUGGGCGUAAAGAGCGUGUAGGCGGUUAGGUAGGUCCGUUGUGAAAACUCGAGGCUCAACCUCGAGACGCCGAUGGAAACCAUCUGACUAGAGUCCGGAAGAGGAGAGUGGAAUUCCUGGUGUAGCGGUGAAAUGCGCAGAUAUCAGGAAGAACACCCGUGGCUAAGGCGGCUCUCUAGUACGUGACUGACGCUGAGACGCGAAAGCGUGGGGAGCGAACAGGAUUAAGAA